AAUGAACGUUGGCGGCGUGGAUUAGGCAUGCAAGUCGAGCGCUCAUAGCAAUAUGGGAGCGGCGAACGGCGUAGUAAUACGUAGGAACGUACCCUCGGGUCGAGGAUAGCUAUGGGAAACUGUAGGUAAUACUCGAUAACCUCUGCGGAGCAAAGGUGUGAUUCCGCCCGAGGAGCGGCUUACGCGAUAUUAGCUAGUUGGUAGGGUAAUGGCCUACAAGCGAUGAUGUCUAGGUGGUGUGAGAGCAUGGCCCCCACCGACCGGAACUGAGAUACUGUCCGGACACCUACGGGUGGCUGCAGUCGAGAAUCUUCCGCAAUGGACGAAAGUACUGACGGAGCGACGCCGCGUGCGGGAGUGAAGGCCCUUGGGUUGUAAACCGCUGUCAGAGGGGAGUGAAAUCUUCGGAGGUACUCCUCCGAAGUUGACAGAGCCUCAAAGGAAGCACGGGC
rnacentral:rRNA from 1 species